rnacentral:rRNA from 1 species
UGAGGAAUAUUGCACAAUGGGCGAAAGCCUGAUGCAGCGACGCCGCGUGAAGGAUGAAGGUCUUCGGAUUGUAAACUUCUGUUAAAUGGGAAAAAAGAGUUCUUCUGAAUAGGAAGAAAAGAUGAUGGUACCAUUAGAGAAAGCACCGGCUAACUUCGUGCCAGCAGCCGCGGUAAUACGAGGGGUGCAAGCGUUAUUCGGAUUUAUUGGGCGUAAAGGGUUUGUAGGCGGUUUGUUAAGUCAUUUAUUAAAUAUCCUAGCUUAACUAGGAAAAUGUGAGUGAAACUGGCAGGCUAGAGGAUGGAAGAGAGAAGUGGAAUUCUCGGAGUAGCGGUAAAAUGCGUAGAUCUCGAGAGGAACACCGAUGGCGAAGGCAGCUUCUUGGUCCAUAUCUGACGCUGAAAAACGAAAGCGUGGGGAGCAAACAGG